rnacentral:rRNA from 1 species
UACGUAGGGUGCAAGCGUUAAUCGGAAUUACUGGGCGUAAAGCGUGCGCAGGCGGUUUUGUAAGUCUGUCGUGAAAUCCCCGGGCUCAACCUGGGAAUUGCGAUGGAGACUGCAAGGCUAGAAUCUGGCAGAGGGGGUAGAAUUCCACGUGUGAGCAGUGAAAUGCGUAGAGAUGUGGAGGAACACCGAUGGCGAAGGCAGCCCCCUGGGUCAAGAUUGACGCUCAUGCACGAAAGCGUGGGGAGCAAACAGGAUAGAAACCCCUGAGUCCAGACAAGUACCGUCUUGCCAUGACCGUAACUCACCGACCC